rnacentral:rRNA from 1 species
AUUAAACGCUGGCGGCAUGCCUUACACAUGCAAGUCGAACGGCAGCACGGGGGCAACCCUGGUGGCGAGUGGCGAACGGGUGAGUAAAGCAUCGGAACGUGCCCUGGAGUGGGGGAUAACGUAGCGAAAGUUACGCUAAUACCGCAUAUUCUGUGAGCAGGAAAGCAGGGGAUCGCAAGACCUUGCGCUCUGGGAGCGGCCGAUGUCGGAUUAGCUAGUUGGUGGGGUAAAGGCCUACUAAGGCGACGAUCCGUAGCGGGUCUGAGAGGAUGAUCCGCCACACUGGGACUGAGACACGGCCCAGACUCCUACGGGAGGCAGCAGUGGGGAAUUUUGGACAAUGGGCGAAAGCCUGAUCCAGCCAUGCCGCGUGAGUGAAGAAGGCCUCGG